ensembl:lncRNA
UCCCUCCCGCCCCGAGAGACACAAAGACGACGGGCUAGGGGCCGAGAAGCGCGCGUUCGGCCGCGGCUUUCACCCUGCCUCAGCUCCCGCGAUGCCGCGGCCGGAAUGACUGCCCAGGCACGGACCAGGGGAAGGGUCAAACGCCAGCCUUAACCUAGGAACUGUCCAGAAACCUCGGUUCUUUCCUCAUCGCUCUGAGCAGAGAUCUGAUACUCUUCCCAACGAUGCUUGUGAAACAAAACAAGAGGCGAGUGCCUUUCCAAUUAACCUAACCUGCGUCACAAAUGUAAAGGGGACUUAGAGCAACGCAGCGAACCUCAAACCUAUUAUACUUGAUUUUCUGGGCACUGGUAGAAUAUCCUGGCACUAUGCAAAGGGCAGGAAGCGCAUCACCCUGGGUUUCCCUCACGUUCUGUCGCGCACACGAACGCUCCAGCCUCCCGAGAGGACCCUGGCCAGCAGAAUUACUGUUAGGGGAGGAGAGGGGAGGGCUCCUUUGCAGAUCCUCCUCGACUUGGACCAUCCCUAAAGCGCGGACAGCUUCUCGAGAGCGACUGGGUUUGUAUCGAGACGGAAGGAAUUAGUGGUUCUGUUCUGCCAGUGAAAUAGCCCACCGAAGACAGUGCUUAAUAAAAUAUGGUGCAUAUAUAUAACCCAUACCAGGCGCACGGGGCGGUCCUCCGCGACCCGGCCCGAGGGCGCCUUCCAGCGCCGCCCGGCUGCGCCCGCCGCACCUGCUUCUGCCGGGAGUGGUUUCCGUGGAAACUGCGGAGAGCCCGCUCUUCCUUCAGACACGCUGUUANNNNNNNNNNNNNNNNNNNNNNNNNNNNNNNNNNNNNNNNNNNNNNNNNNNNNNNNNNNNNNNNNNNNNNNNNNNNNNNNNNNNNNNNNNNNNNNNNNCAGGCAGCGAUGUUUGGGACUGGAGGCGGAGCCCCGGGAGCCUGCGUAGGGGUGGAGUUAAUGGGCCACGCAGACUCCGCGGACCGCGUAGCUCCCCCUGCACCCGCACCAAGUGAGUUCAUGCUUGGUUUUAGAAGCAGUGACCACAGCCCUAACGGAACGAAGCCAGCAGGAGCUGCCUGGUGAGGAGCGCCUGCUGCACGGGGCCAGCAGAAGUCUGUUUCUUGGAGCUCAGCUGGCGGCUUGCUUCCCACUCAGCAGGACCUCCCUCCAAUUCCUGUUAGACCUCGCUUCUCCUGGUUGUAUGGACACGCAUCAUGUGGAUUUACGACGUUUUGUUUAAUAAAACUUCAUCCUCGAUUCCCUGUCUUCAACAGCCUCAACGAAAAUAUGCCUUUCUGGAAAUGGGUUGCACAACAAUGUGAGUGGACGUGGGCCUGCACACUGACAAAUGGCUAAAACGGUAAAUUAUGCGUUAUGCGUGUUUUAUCAUCAUUUUAAAAAGCUGAUUACCGAUGCGUUUAUCAAGACUCUUCACUGACUUCUGUCUAGGCCCUGUGAUUUUAUGGUCGUGCCCGAGGAGUCUGGAGCCUGGGCUUUUAGCUGUGCCCUCCUCCACGUGCUCCCCGCCUCCCCCUAACCCCACGUCCCCCCCACCCCCGACUCCUGAAGCCCGGCUGGUCCUGGGGUGGGGGGGCAGUAGUUCGGUAGCCUUGGCUCUGCCCUGUGCCUCCUAGGAAAGCCUUGUUGCCCUUGUCUGUGAUUUUAGACAUGACACUCAUCAAGGCUCAUCAGUGCCCGGCCUGUGAACCCACAGUGCAUGUGUUGAACUCCGGGCAACAUGGGCACAAAUUACUUUCCUGCAGAUGCUGGAAGCAAAGAAUUUCCUGUGUUCCAGCAGCCCGUGGUAGGAAACAACCCUCAGGGUGAAAACAGAGGCUGCCUUUGUUUUAUAGCAUCUGGUUUCUUCCUUUAAUUCGUUGGGUAUAAGAAAGAUCCCUGUUCAUGUCUCCUAAACUCUGCAUUCAUUGGUUUGUAAAAUUCAGAAACUGACUCAAAAGAGGCCAGAGUACUCACAUGCUACAGAUAUGAUUCUGUUACAGAUGUAUUCCCAAAGGGUGAGCAGUUGUUAAGCCAUCACAGCUAACGUCUCCUGAGGGUUUCCCGGGCACCCGACUAGCCUUCUUCCCCGGCUUUGUCUCAGGCGGUCAUCCCAGCAGCCCUCUGCUCAGAGCACUCAUGAGGAAGUCUGGCACAAAGCGAUCCCAUAGCUCACACCAGAUCCCAGCGAGUACAUGCAGCAGAGCCAGACUUGAGCUCAGAGCCCUACCUAAUGUCAGAGCUCUUUCUUGUCAUCAAAGUACAAAGGGUCAGUGCCUCAGUCGUGUCUGACUCUGUGUGACCCCAUGGACUGCAGCCCUCUAGCCUCCUCUGUCUAUGGGGAUUCUCCAGGCAAGAAUCCUGGAAUGGGUCGCCAUGCACCCAGGGGAUCUUCCCAACCCAGGGAUCAAACCCACGUCUCUUUUGUGCCCUGCAUUGUAGGCAGACUCUUUACUGUCUGAGCAAGCACCAAGGAAACUUGUAAAAACCUAUAAAAGGAGUUUUGAUGAAACCUUUCAGGGAUAAGAGAAAGGUUCAGCACUAAAGAUGACUGGACCGUAUUCUUUUCAUUCCGUAUACGUUCAGACAUUUUUAAAAUUUAUCAGAUAGUAAGUGUAACACACUCUUUCAUACAGUUCACCUCAGAUAUUUUGUGGCACAUUUAAGAUUUCAUUGUCAAGACAACGGUCCCAAUAUGGUAAUCCUUAGAACUUGGAAAGAGGAGCAUGUAUAUCACUGUCUGUAGAAGAUAAGAGAGAAACAAGCAUUUCUGCUACCAAAUCCUUUUGUUGAAAGGAAGAGGCACUUAGCCGUCUGAGUCAUAGAAGCCUUCUGUCCUUUUCGAUAAGCUGCCAGCCACCGACCAACCAGAACCCGUGGGCCUGGGGCAGGCAUCCGUGUUCAGAUUAGGGCUGCAAAUGACCAGAGCAGGAAAUGAAAUAAAGCCUGGAAAGCAGUUCUGAGGGUGAUGGGAAAGAUGCUGGUGCUGANNNNNNNNNNNNNNNNNNNNNNNNNNNNNNNNNNNNNNNNNNNNNNNNNNNNNNNNNNNNNNNNNNNNNNNNNNNNNNNNNNNNNNNNNNNNNNNNNNNAAGCCUGGAAAGCAGUUCUGAGGGUGAUGGGAAAGAUGCUGGUGCUGAUGAGACUGUUUGGCGCUUUCUCCCUUGCAACUGGCACCAGGCUUUGUCUGUAUUCUUGGCUGGAACUGGACCCUGGGCUGUUCCCGAGGAGAUGCUGCCAGUCCGCGGAGUGCAGGGCGGGACCCACGCCUUCCUCCCUGAGGAGGCUCUGUCCGCCCCGGCACUGUGGGCUCAGGGCUUGCUCUCACCCUCAUCGCCCACCUCCACACCUCCUCACCCACCACCAGCAUUCCCCCAACAUUACUCCCCAGAUGCUCCUUCCUAAUAACUCAGACUCAGGGUCUCUGAUGUUAAGCACUUGCUAUGUGUCUGUCACUGAAUUCAGGCUGGGGAGGGGAACACCUCUUAAAAAUUCAAUAAAGUAACGGAAGAAAGCCGCCUCCUUUGAAAACGUCCCUUCCUUCUUUCUCCUGUUGAAUCUGUUAGGUAGUUAAAAUAGGAAAAAGGAGUCCAAAAUGCUGAUGGCUAAAAGACAAAGAGAAAAGCCCUCAAAAAUGGAACAAAGGAAAAUCCACGGACUGAAGUGAGAACGUUAGGUAAAACAAACAUGCCCCCUUCUUGGCCAGCCCAGUUUGCAUAGGGCAGGCUCAAGGCGGGGAGGAGACAGAUGUGUAAAAGGAGGAAGCCAGGCUGGGCUGGGGCCUCUCCUCUGGGGCUGGCCCGCCCUCACGCCUCUAGGGUGUACUAUCCUUUGUUUGCCGAAUAAAGCUCUGAGCUGUAACACUGGUCUGCUGUUUCAAAUCUUUGCUGCGGCAAGACAGAACUGAGGAAAUUACACACUUCCCCCACAAAACCAUUUUUACAAAACUUAAAAAGUUCCCUCAAGACAUAUUAAAUAGAAUUUGAGGAGAAUUCCGCUUUUUAGACACACAGCAAUUCUGCAUCUGUCAUCUGGAAAGCGUGAGGCCAAGUGGACACCAUGCUGUCUGGCAGCCACCUGAGAAUCCUGAGUCAUCUGCAAUCCCUCAUCUCGAAGUUUAGUGAGGGGCAGGGCAUAUGCCAGCAGAGCAGGGUUUGGAGAGUUUCAGACUCAGGAGGCUCCUAGAGUUUCAUUUAUGGUUUUCAGAUGUAGUCCAGUUAGGGACGGAGGGAGUUCCCUGCAGCUCCUGGCGCUGCUCAGAUGUAAGACUCUGUGUCCUGACACAGCUGGAAAUGGGGGCAGGUGAUGGGAGUUAGGAGCCAGGCUUUAGGGCACUUUUGGUGAUGCUACAAGGACCAGAGGCAGAUCUAUCUGCUGACGCGCUGGCUGAGAGUCUUCUGAGAUUAAGUCCAAGAUUAAGCAAAUGUCUCUCCCUUUCUUACACAGCUCACACUCUUAUUCUGUCUGCAUGAAGAGGGCAAAUGGCCUAUUUCCUCUGAAGCACAGCUUCACUUCCACCCAUGCUAAAAUCCUAUGCUCCGCCCUAUGUGUAUGGCGCAUCCUUGUCCUUGGUGGACUUCUGGGCAGUUACAUUUAUCAUCUUCCUGCCCCCCAUGGCAAAGGGCCUGUGAACUGCCCCACCGCCCAUGUGGGCUGUUCCCUGGUGUCUCUCAAUUAGCAAAGAUGCUCCUGCCACUUGCUGAAAGUCUCAUUAUGGUUCUGGAAACACCUACUUGGCUUUUCCCUGCUUUAGUUUCUGCCUCAAAAUGAUGUGUCUGGGAUUUAUGCCACAAUCAUUUUCCUAGUCACUUUCCCCUACUUUUCUCUUUUGAAAAUCAUCAUGCUGGUGACAGUUUGAAAUCCCACACUAGCACAUAUGAGGAGGGAAAGCGAAUAAAAAUCCUCAUGGUGUCUGCUCGCUGUGCCAAGAGCUUUGCUUAUGUGAAAAUGCAUCAGAAAAAUAGUGAGGAUCCUAUGUCUGCGUGCAUGUGUGUGUGUCUGUGUACAGAAUAACAUCAUUAUUGGAAAGUAAUAACACAAUAACUAUUAUCCUUCUGCUAAUGUAAAAACUGUUUUCAUAGCUGAGCAUUCCAUUCUCACCUUUGCCAAAUACAUGCAUUUCGUAUGUUAAGUCACAGAAAACAUACAGUUUUCUUUCUGACAUAGGAAUUCCUACUGACAGAGGCUUCUUUCUUUGCACUGCCCCUCAAGCAUAUCAUAUAAUCCACGCUUCUAUGCUAGCAAUUUUUUCCCUACACCACAAUUAAUAUUUGGGUAUCAUUCUCUCCUGUCCCUGGAGGGGAGAGAGCAGGAUCUUUGCUUUCUGAGCGUUCAGCAUGGUGGGUUUGCCUGGUGCAUACUUGGCACUUGAUAAGUGCCUGUUGAGGGAGUGAUUUUAAGAACAGCAUGAUCUGAGUAGAUUAGUCUAGACUGGGGCUACUCUUGCUCUACAGGCUGCAAAUUUGUGAGUUCAGAGUUCAUGGGAUCCUAGACAUUUCAUAUGUGGGAUUAGAGGGGGCAUGGAGAAGGCAAUGGCAACCCACUCCAGUACUCUUGCCUGGAAAAU